UACGUAGGGUGCGAGCGUUAAUCGGAAUUACUGGGCGUAAAGCGUGCGCAGGCGGUGAUGCAAGUCCGGUGUGAAAUCCCCGGGCUUAACCUGGGAACUGCAUUGGUGACUGCAUCGCUCGAGUAUGGCAGAGGGGGGUAGAAUUCCACGUGUAGCAGUGAAAUGCGUAGAGAUGUGGAGGAAUACCGAUGGCGAAGGCAGCCCCCUGGGUCAAUACUGACGCUCAUGCACGAAAGCGUGGGGAGCAAACAGG
rnacentral:rRNA from 1 species